UGUUCCAUUUGUUUAUUUUUUUAUUCUUUGUUUAUAUAAUUUAUAACCUAGACAGUUUUGUUUUUAAAUAAAAUUGAAACUGUGUCUAAGCUAAAAUGGAUAAUAUUCUUGAAGAAUUUUUGUUUGGGGACGAAAUUAGCAAAUGCCGUUAUACAUUUAGCAGAUGUACCUGCCUCACAAUUAUUCCAGAAGGAUGAGAUGAAAUUAAAUAUAUAUAAACCAUAAUUCAAUAUCCAAUUUAGAGAACAUUUUCGUAUGUCCAGAACUACUUUCCAGGAACUAUUUAAUUGUAUUGGUCAUAUCCACCAAUUUGAAAACAGAAUAAUUCUAUUGGAAAAAAUUAAUGUUUAUGAUGUGGAUGCUAAGUAAACCAGAGAAUUUGUUGCUGGGGAUACGUUUGGUUUGCCAAAGAGCUCUGGACAUAAGAUUUUCACCCAAAUAAUAUAGAAUUACAAAAAAUUGGAAAUAACUAAUCUUGAAUAUCAAUGUGUAUAUUGAGUUUAAUUUUAUUGUAAAUAUUCUAUAAUAUAAUUUUAUUGUAAAUAUUGUAUUAACACAUUUGUGGACACAUCUUCAUAUGCAGACAGUAAUUUCCCUUUGUAAGUACAUGCAUAUUAGUCGUAUCUGCGAAUGGGUUAAUUGUAAAUCGUAAUCAAUAAAAAUUUUUUGUGAAUCAAUAAAAAACUGGUUUGUUUGAAAAUAAAUGUAGUACAAAUGUG